rnacentral:rRNA from 1 species
CCUAUGAAGCUUUACUGUAACUUGAAAUUGAAAUUGGACUUUAUUCGCGCAGUAUAGGUGGGAGGCGUUGAAAAUAGUCUUGCGGGAAUAUUGGAGCCAUCAGUGAGAUACCACUCUUAUAAUGUUAGAUUUCUAACUUUGAAUCAUUAUCUGGUCAAAGAACAGUUUCAGGCGGGCAGUUUGACUGGGGCGGUCGCCUCCCAAACGGUAACGGAGGCGUACAAAGGUUUCCUCUGAACGGGUAGAAAUCGUAUCUAGAGUAUAAAGGCAAAAGGAAGCUUGACUGUGAGACCUACAAGUCGAGCAGGGACGAAAGUCGGUCUUAGUGAUCUGACGGUACUGAGUGGAAAGG